rnacentral:sRNA from 1 species
GUGCAGAAUACAUAUAACCAUAUAUAUACAUGUAUAAAAACUGUGAUAGCAAGAAUAUAAUGGAAAAAGAUAAGAAUAAACAAAGAGAAUCUAAAGGAAAUAAUAAAUAAAUGUAUCACAGAAAGAGAAAAAAGAUAGAAAGAAAAGAUUGUAUGAAAAAAAGUUCUUAUAGAAAAGAGAUUGAAAAAGAAGAGUAUCAGAAGCUAUAUCACAGUGAGAGACAGAGUGAAAGAACAUUAUAAGUUAUGUAAAGGAAUUGUUAGAAACUAUACAAAUGCGGAGCGGGAUCAUGAUGACAAGGACAAGC